rnacentral:rRNA from 1 species
UUGCACGCUGGCGGCAGGCCUCACCCAUGCAAGUCGAGCGGAUGAAGGGAGCUUGCUCCUGGAUUCAGCGGCGGACGGGUGAGUAAUGCCUAGGAAUCUGCCUGGUAGUGGGGGAUAACGUCCGGAAACGGGCGCUAAUACCGCAUACGUCCUGAGGGAGAAAGUGGGGGAUCUUCGGACCUCACGCUAUCAGAUGAGCCUAGGUCGGAUUAGCUAGUUGGUGGGGUAAAGGCCUACCAAGGCGACGAUCCGUAACUGGUCUGAGAGGAUGAUCAGUCACACUGGAACUGAGACACGGUCCAGACUCCUACGGGAGGCAGCAGUGGGGAAUAUUGGACAAUGGGCGAAAGCCUGAUCCAGCCAUGCCGCGUGUGUGAAGAAGGUCUUCGGAUUGUAAAGCACUUUAAGUUGGGAGGAAGGGCAGUAAGUUAAUACCUUGCUGUUUUGACGUUACCAACAGAAUAAGCACCGGCUAACUUCGUG